rnacentral:rRNA from 1 species
GCUUAGAAGCAGCCAUCAUUUAAAAAGUGCGUAACAGCUUACUGGUCGAGCAGUUCUGCGCCAAUAAUGAACGGGAGUAAGUACGACACCGAAGCAGUAGAUUUAUGGUAGGAGAGCGCCGCUGAGCAGAUACAAGCCGUACCGGAAGGAGCGGUGUUGGGUUCAGCGGGUGAUUAUGCCGGAAUGAGUAACGAUAAGGCAGGUGAGAAUCCUGCCCGCCGAAAGCCUAAGGUUUCCUGGGGUAGGUAAUUCCGCCCAGGGUUAGCCGGAGCCUAAGUCGAGGCCGAAAGGCGUAGACGAUGGACAGCAGGUUAAUAUUCCUGCGCCGGUUCUGUGGACCGAAGAGGGGACGGCGUUUGGAUCGCGAGGGGACUGUUAGAAAUGUCCCUGGCCGCAAGGCUAACCCCGUUUACGAUGGGUAUGUCGCGUGAAGGACGUCCAAGAAAAGCCUCGUAGGGUUGAAGCAGACCGUCCGUACUAAAACUGACACAGGUAGGCGAGACGAGUAGUCUAAGGCGCUCGGGAGAACAUUGGUUAAGGAACUCUGCAAAUUGAUCCCGUAAGUUCGCGAUAAGGGAUGCCUACGCGAGUAGGCCACAGUAAAUCGGUUCCAGCGACUGUUUAUCAAAAACACAGGACUCUGCUAACACGCAAGUGGAUGUAUAGAGUCUGACGCCUGCCCGGUGCUGGUAGGUUAAGGUAAGAGGUUAGUUAUAUUUAUAUAGCGAAGCUUUUGACCGAAGCCCCAGUAAACGGCGGCCGUAACUAUGACGGUCCUAAGGUAGCGAAGUUCCUUGUCGGGUAAGUUCCGACCUGCACGAAUGGCGUAACGACUUCCCCGCUGUCUCCAGCAUAGACUCAGUGAAAUUGAAUUCCCCGUGAAGAUGCGGGGUUCCUGCGGUCAGACGGAAAGACCCCGUGCACCUUUACUACAGCUUCACACUGGCAUUCGUCACGACAUGUGUAGGAUAGGUGGUAGGCGUCGAAGCAGGAGCGCCAGCUCUUGUGGAGCCACCCUUGAAAUACCACCCUUGUCGUCAUGGAUGUCUAACCGCGGCGCAACAACGUCCGGGACAGUGUGUGGCGGGUAGUUUGACUGGGGCGGUCGCCUCCCAAAUGGUAACGGAGGCGCGCGAUGGUGGGCUCAGAACGGUCGGAAAUCGUUCGACGAGUGCAAUGGCAUAAGCCCGCCUGACUGCGAGACUGACAAGUCGAGCAGAGACGAAAGUCGGUCAUAGUGAUCCGGUGGUCCCUCGUGGAAGGGCCAUCGCUCAACGGAUAAAAGGUACGCCGGGGAUAACAGGCUGAUGAUUCCCAAGAGUCCAUAUCGACGGAAUCGUUUGGCACCUCGAUGUCGGCUCAUCACAUCCUGGGGCGGUAGUACGUCCCAAGGGUUGGGCUGUUCGCCCAUGAA